GGUCAAGUGAAGAAGCGCAUACGGUGGAUGCCUUGGCAGUCAGAGGCGAUGAAAGACGUGGUAGCCUGCGAAAAGCUUCGGGGAGUCGGCAAACAGACUUUGAUCCGGAGAUGUCUGAAUGGGGGAACCCAGCCAUCAUAAGAUGGUUACCUUACACUGAAUACAUAGGUGUAAGGGGCGAACCAGGGGAACUGAAACAUCUAAGUACCCUGAGGAAAAGAAAUCAACCGAGAUUCCCUUAGUAGUGGCGAGCGAACGGGGACUAGCCCUUAAGUGGCUUUGAGAUUAGCGGAACGCUCUGGAAAGUGCGGCCAUAGUGGGUGAUAGCCCUGUACGCGAAAAUCUCUUAGUCAUGAAAUCGAGUAGGACGGAGCACGAGAAACUUUGUCUGAAUAUGGGGGGACCAUCCUCCAAGGCUAAAUACUACUGACUGACCGAUAGUGAACUAGUACCGUGAGGGAAAGGCGAAAAGAACCCCGGAGAGGGGAGUGAAAUAGAUCCUGAAACCGUAUGCGUACAAGCAGUGGGAGCAGACUUUGUUCUGUGACUGCGUACCUUUUGUAUAAUGGGUCAGCGACUUAUUUUCAGUGGCGAGCUUAACCGAAUAGGGGAGGCGUAGCGAAAGCGAGUCUUAAUAGGGCGUCUAGUCGCUGGGAAUAGACCCGAAACCGGGCGAUCUAUCCAUGGGCAGGUUGAAGGUUGGGUAACACUAACUGGAGGACCGAACCGACUACCGUUGAAAAGUUAGCGGAUGACCUGUGGAUCGGAGUGAAAGGCUAAUCAAGCUCGGAGAUAGCUGGUUCUCCUCGAAAGCUAUUUAGGUAGCGCCUCAUGUAUCACUGUAGGGGGUAGAGCACUGUUUCGGCUAGGGGGUCAUCCCGACUUACCAAACCGAUGCAAACUCCGAAUACCUACAAGUGCCGAGCAUGGGAGACACACGGCGGGUGCUAACGUCCGUCGUGAAAAGGGAAACAACCCAGACCGUCAGCUAAGGUCCCAAAGUUAUGGUUAAGUGGGAAACGAUGUGGGAAGGCUUAGACAGCUAGGAGGUUGGCUUAGAAGCAGCCACCCUUUAAAGAAAGCGUAAUAGCUCACUAGUCGAGUCGGCCUGCGCGGAAGAUGUAACGGGGCUCAAACCAUACACCGAAGCUACGGGUAUCACGUAAGUGAUGCGGUAGAGGAGCGUUCUGUAAGCCUGUGAAGGUGAGUUGAGAAGCUUGCUGGAGGUAUCAGAAGUGCGAAUGCUGACAUGAGUAACGACAAUGGGUGUGAAAAACACCCACGCCGAAAGACCAAGGUUUCCUGCGCAACGUUAAUCGACGCAGGGUUAGUCGGUCCCUAAGGCGAGGCUGAAAAGCGUAGUCGAUGGAAAACAGGUUAAUAUUCCUGUACUUCUGGUUAUUGCGAUGGAGGGACGGAGAAGGCUAGGCCAGCUUGGCGUUGGUUGUCCAAGUUUAAGGUGGUAGGCUGGAAUCUUAGGUAAAUCCGGGAUUCUAAGGCCGAGAGCUGAUGACGAGCUAACUUUUAGUUAGCGAAGUGGUUGAUGCCAUGCUUCCAAGAAAAGCUUCUAAGCUUCAGGUAACCAGGAACCGUACCCCAAACCGACACAGGUGGUUGGGUAGAGAAUACCAAGGCGCUUGAGAGAACUCGGGUGAAGGAACUAGGCAAAAUGGCACCGUAACUUCGGGAGAAGGUGCGCCGGUGAGGGUGAAGGACUUGCUCCGUAAGCUCAUGCCGGUCGAAGAUACCAGGCCGCUGCGACUGUUUAUUAAAAACACAGCACUCUGCAAACACGAAAGUGGACGUAUAGGGUGUGACGCCUGCCCGGUGCCGGAAGGUUAAUUGAUGGGGUUAGCUAACGCGAAGCUCUUGAUCGAAGCCCCGGUAAACGGCGGCCGUAACUAUAACGGUCCUAAGGUAGCGAAAUUCCUUGUCGGGUAAGUUCCGACCUGCACGAAUGGCGUAACGAUGGCGGCGCUGUCUCCACCCGAGACUCAGUGAAAUUGAAAUCGCUGUGAAGAUGCAGUGUAUCCGCGGCUAGACGGAAAGACCCCGUGAACCUUUACUAUAGCUUUGCACUGGACUUUGAAUUUGCUUGUGUAGGAUAGGUGGGAGGCUUUGAAGCGUGGACGCCAGUCUGCGUGGAGCCAACCUUGAAAUACCACCCUGGCAACUUUGAGGUUCUAACUCAGGUCCGUUAUCCGGAUCGAGGACAGUGUAUGGUGGGUAGUUUGACUGGGGCGGUCUCCUCCUAAAGAGUAACGGAGGAGUACGAAGGUGCGCUCAGACCGGUCGGAAAUCGGUCGUAGAGUAUAAAGGCAAAAGCGCGCUUGACUGCGAGACAGACACGUCGAGCAGGUACGAAAGUAGGUCUUAGUGAUCCGGUGGUUCUGUAUGGAAGGGCCAUCGCUCAACGGAUAAAAGGUACUCCGGGGAUAACAGGCUGAUACCGCCCAAGAGUUCAUAUCGACGGCGGUGUUUGGCACCUCGAUGUCGGCUCAUCACAUCCUGGGGCUGAAGCCGGUCCCAAGGGUAUGGCUGUUCGCCAUUUAAAGUGGUACGCGAGCUGGGUUUAGAACGUCGUGAGACAGUUCGGUCCCUAUCUGCCGUGGACGUUUGAGAUUUGAGAGGGGCUGCUCCUAGUACGAGAGGACCGGAGUGGACGAACCUCUGGUGUUCCGGUUGUCACGCCAGUGGCAUUGCCGGGUAGCUAUGUUCGGAAUAGAUAACCGCUGAAAGCAUCUAAGCGGGAAACUAGCCUCAAGAUGAGAUCUCACUGGAACCUUGAGUUCCCUGAAGGGCCGUCGAAGACUACGACGUUGAUAGGUUGGGUGUGUAAGCGCUGUGAGGCGUUGAGCUAACCAAUACUAAUUGCCCGUGAGGCUUGACCAU
rnacentral:rRNA from 2 species